CACGGUGUCACACACAGAAGCACGGACACGGUGACAAGGGGGUCACAGGGGCUCACACACAGUGACACCCUCUCCCACGGUCAUAGGCCCCUUCGCACAUCCAUUCUUUUCCCGCAGGCCCGCCAGGGCUCACGCCCGCCCGCGGCGUGCUCACCGCCUCCUCCCUGCGGGUUGGCAACUCCCGCCGCGCCGUUGCCUCCAGGAGCCCAACGCCCCGAGGGCCGGGGCGGGGCCUCGCUCUCGGCCUCACCGGCGGGCUCACAAAGGCGCCGCGGCGCUCGGGCGGGCAGCGGGGAUGGCCGCAGGGGCCGCUGGGAAAUGGAGUCCAGGCCGGGCGCGGCGCGGGGCAUCCUGGGACGGCCCUUCGGAGGCGCGGACCCGGCCGGUGGUUCCUGCUCUCGCCCGCAGUCGUGUGACGCGUUCCCCCAGCCCGGGAGCUCCCACUUCAGAACCAGGGCCGCGUCAGCCCCAUCCAGCCGACCGAGUCCCGCCCAGGCUUGGACGGGACGGCUCGGAGUACGCAGGCGCAGCGGGCCGGUCCCGGUAGGCGCUCAAGCCAGGGUCCCAGCCCAGAUUCUUUGGUUCUGUUUCCAUGAAGAGUCAUGAAGCAAAUGUCUGUCUCCAAAGAUGCUUUCCUCUAAGGUUCCACCACAUUGGCUCCUCCAUAAUUCAGAGGGCAGAGGUAGAGUUUCUUCCACCCACAGGUACUGAUGUUUUGUUUCAUGGAAAUACCAACUCCUCUUCCACACUCUGUCCCAUAAAUAUAGUCACUUUGGUUUCCUGAAACUAUUGGUUUGUGUCAACUUAGCUAAUCAGUGUUCUGUCUUGGUUCCUCCUCUCUACUUUGUGGAAUGUAAUAUGUCUUCAGAGAGAAAGCCAUUGCAAUUAUAGGAUCUCAUUUAUUUCUCUUCUCUCAGGGAUCAAAGUCUUGUACUACUUGUCCAAUAUCUGAAAAGACUUGUUUCCUACACAUUAUCUAGUUUUGUUAUCAUGUACUUUCCUUGCCCCAGUCCUAGAAUCAGAUACUUCAAGAAGCUUUGGUUUCUUUUCUUAGAGAAUGGUAUUUAGAAACCAAGGUCUGGGCACUAGGUUUAUGCUCAUUACUUCAAAGCAUCAUUCACCAAAUAGAAACAGAAAUACAAAACCACAUAUUUUGAAAAGAAAUAGUUAAGACUUUAAUGAGUAAAUUCAAGUUUUAAACGUUUUUGUUUUACAGAAAAGCUGCAAAGAUAGUACAGAGUUCCCAAUUACCCUGUACCUAGUUUCCCCUAUUGUUAACAUCUUAUGUUAGUAUAGUGCUUGUGUUAUAAUUAAUGAACCAAACAUUGAUAUGUUAUUAUUAACUAAUUUCCAUACUUUAUUCAUAUGGAGUUUUCCUAGGUUGUUUUGUUUUGUUUUUAGAUUUUGUUUAUUCAUGAGAGACACACAGAGAGAGGCAGAAACACAGGCAGAGGGAGAAGCAGCCUCUAUGCAAGGAGCCGGAUGUGGGACUCCAUCCCAGGACUGCGGAAUCACGCCCUGAGCCAAAGGCAGGUGCUCAACCACUGAGCUACCCAGGCAUCCCAUUUUUCAUAGUUUUUAAUGUAAUGCCCUUUGUCUGUUUCAG
rnacentral:lncRNA from 1 species